rnacentral:rRNA from 1 species
CCUACGGGAGGCAGCAGUGAGGAAUAUUGGUCAAUGGACGAGAGUCUGAACCAGCCAAGUCGCGUGAAGGAUGACUGCCCUAUGGGUUGUAAACUUCUUUUAUAUGGGAAUAAAAUGUUCCACGUGUGGGAUUUUGUAUGUACCAUAUGAAUAAGGAUCGGCUAACUCCGUGCCAGCAGCCGCGGUAAUACGGAGGAUCCGGGCGUUAUCCGGAUUUAUUGGGUUUAAAGGGGGCGUAGGGGGAUUGUUAAGUCAGUUGUGAAAGUUUGCGGCUCAACCGUAAAAUUGCAGUUGAAACUGGCAGUCUUGAGUACAGUAGAGGUGGGCGGAAUUCGUGGUGUAGCGGUGAAAUGCUUAGAUAUCACGAAGAACUCCGAUUGCGAAGGCAGUUCACUGGACUGCAACUGACACUGAGGCUCGAAAGUGUGGGUAUCAAACAGGAUUAGAUACCCCAGUAGUC